CGGGAGGCAGCAGUGGGGAAUAUUGCACAAUGGGCGCAAGCCUGAUGCAGCCAUGCCGCGUGUGUGAAGAAGGCCUUCGGGUUGUAAAGCACUUUCAGUCGUGAGGAAGGUGGUGUAGUUAAUAGCUGCAUUAUUUGACGUUAGCGACAGAAGAAGCACCGGCUAACUCCGUGCCAGCAGCCGCGGUAAUACGGAGGGUGCGAGCGUUAAUCGGAAUUACUGGGCGUAAAGCGCAUGCAGGUGGUUUGUUAAGUCAGAUGUGAAAGCCCGGGGCUCAACCUCGGAAUAGCAUUUGAAACUGGCAGACUAGAGUACUGUAGAGGGGGGUAGAAUUUCAGGUGUAGCGGUGAAAUGCGUAGAGAUCUGAAGGAAUACCGGUGGCGAAGGCGGCCCCCUGGACAGAUACUGACACUCAGAUGCGAAAGCGUGGGGAGCAAACAGGAUUAGAUACCCUGGUAGUCCACGCCGUAAACGAUGUCUACUUGGAGGUUGUGGCCUUGAGCCGUGGCUUUCGGAGCUAACGCGUUAAGUAGACCGCCUGGGGAGUACGGUCGCAAGAUUAAAACUCAAAUGAAUUGACGGGGG
rnacentral:rRNA from 1 species